UCCAUAUUUUCUCACAAUAAUCAUCAACAAUGGUUUGAAAAGGUUAGAAACAAUUUAUUUUUAUAAGUGUUUUCAUUUUCCUGUCAUAACGUUCACAUCAUUCCCAGGAAAUCAAAAUGAUCCAUUACUAGCGAGCUGGUUUUAGAACCAGCCCUUACACAAGUCUGAAUACAAUACUAAACAGAUGAUUACUUUCGGACCUGAAAGUCUGUCUUUAAGAGUGAAAUUAAAUCUUACAAAUACACCAUUAUGAAUACGCCCUGGUAUACAGGAGCCAUAUUUAAAUAGUGUUACUAUAUUACCCUUACAAAGAUAACAUUGUUAAAGGGCUUGAGGCAGGAGUAUUUUAAAUCUUGGUAUUAUUCUAAGAGUUGCUUUUUUAAUGGUGGCUUUU